GGCUGUGAAGGUGCUAGAAAAGUGUCUCACUCUGGGGGAAGGAAAUUAGAGCCCAAACGACCAUUGGAAGGGAAAAGCCCAUUUUUCCAUCACUUUCAAUAGCAGCUCAGUUCCCAGUGACCCCAGAGAGUGAGGGCAGGCUCCAGGCUGUCCAUCUGCAGCUCCUAGCAAAGCUCCCCUGCUUGCUGCAGCCGGCACCCAGCACAUCCUGGCCUCGGCACACACUGAAACCCCCGGCAAAACAACCCACGACAUCAACCCACAAGCCGAUGAACCCGUAUCACCCUGGGUCCCCUCCUGCCGCUCAGGGAGGACCAGGCACUGGGCUAAAUGCUGGUGCAGGAAAGAAAUUUGCCUGCCUUUAAGGCUGAGCCCUGGGGGGUGGCCGGCAACCCCACGGCGAUGGCCUCUGCAAGCCGUAACACAGCCUGUGGACCUGGGGCAAUCAGGCGUCCUGCUCCCGGCAGUGGGGUUCGCACACCCUCUGCAGCUUUCUCUUCUAUAUAAAUACAUUAAUAAAAGAUCAGUUUGCAGACGCAGCUUGCUGUAGAUGACAGCAUUAGAGGUGCAUCUGUUUCUACUAAGCACCAGUCUCGUGCUGGGUUUAUUUGGUCCAUUUGCGGCGGGGAAGAGUUGCUUUCGGCAUUCAGAGAUGUCUCGUGUCUGGGAGAAGUGGGGGGGAGAUAUAUUUUUGGCUCUAUUUAGCCACAAAAAUUUGGUUCUAGAAUAAAGAAAAAUAUUCCUGUUUUCUGUUUGCUGCCAAACUGAGGCAGACGAUUUCUUGUGCAAGCCUUCAUUUGUUUGAGAACUCGGUGUCCUGUUGGAAAAAUAAAUGUUCUGAUGGGAAAAGUCUAUCAGCAUGUAUUGAUCAGUCAUUGGGACCGAUGGACUUGCAAACAUCAGCUUCAACCUAACUGAAAAAGCAGUUCCCAAAGCUUUUGCCAAUACAUGUGAGGCAGAAGGAGACAGGUCUUUGCUUUUUUGAACAGGCUGUUUGCUCCUUUCUGAAAGCCGACCACCACUGGCAGCCACGAUCAGGACACAGCAAUGGGGGAAGGAGAGCAGCUGAUCAGCGUCAGUGGGGAAGAAGCCUGGGAUGUGGCUCCUGCCUGGGAUGCUCCUGGCUGAUGGCAGCACCUUCUCCCCAUCCUGGGGCUGUAGGGUCACAUCCCCGCCACCAAGGUCACUCCAGCAACAGAAGCAGCAACAGCCAGGCUGGGACUAGCUGUAUGAGGAACCACCACAUACAUCUUCCCUCGUGUAUCUGCACAGAGGUACAGCCACACACAAGUCAGCAGCAGCAAGGCCAGCUUCUUAAGCCACCCAACAGGUAUUUGAGCUUCUCUGGAAACAGCGUCUUCAGAUCACAGCUCAGAACCAUUGUCAGACUGAACAGCUGAAGCACAAACAUAAUUCUAGAAACUGUAGAGCAAAUACAGCAGAUCAGAGCACAUUUCUAUAGCAAUACAGGUUGCAUGCAGCAGCCAAAGUAACUCACAGCAGAGACAUCUCACAGCAGAAAGCUACCCAGCUAUGGAUGCUGAGGUGAUAUAUACCCCACAGCUUGGCAUGGGGCCAAGCAGGAUUGGGCCAGAAGGAGACCAGAGCAAACACAAGACUGGGCAGGAGCACAAGCCCUUUCCCUGGGUGGGCAGGAGCAGAGCAGGUGGGACUGGGCAGAAACUAGGCCUGACUGGGGGCUGGCGACCAGCUGAGACCUCAGGCAGGUUGGUGGGGAGUACAGUCCUCCUCUGCUCCCCAGGGACCUUGUUCUCAUAGGUCCUCAUCACAGAUGUACCCUCGUUUUCCCAGCCCAAAGUCUCCCCCAUGCUGAGAAGGAUGCCCCCCUUCCCCUGAGAUCCCACACAGAUGAUGGUCCUGCUCCAGAGCAGAUGCUCCAGGGCUUGGGAUCUGGGACCCAGAGCAGCCACUGAUCUCCAGCAACCUGCAAUACCCAGGGCUUCAGAUCAAGUCUCUCUCAGCCUGGAGCCAAACCAGGAUACAGCUCCAGCUCUUCAACAGCAAAAAGCUGAAUUAAAGUCAUGUUGCCAGCUGUGUAUUUAAACAGGAAUUACCUAGGGUUUCUGUUGUGGUAAUGCACCAGGUGCCGGUAGUGCUACCAAGGCAGAUGAGGAGGAGGGGUGGUGGGUCGGGAACUGGAAGCUCCCAUCUCCUCAGAGAGGUGCUCAGGGGAAAAGAGGGGCUCCUGAUUCCUGCCCUGCUCACAUGCAGGCAAGGUACCCCAGCAGUCAGCCAGCCCACAGCACCUUGCUCCUUUGAGCUCCCUGGUUCUUGCUGAGCUCUGACCACUGUGAACCUCAGGUGUGGGAAAGAAAAACAUCAUUGGGAGCACUCACAGCCACUGACUCCUACCAUACGUGCCCUGGCCACGAACCGGGAUCCUACAGCACAAGGUGCUGGCCAAACGCAAACAUCAAAGGUGGCACCCGUGCCAAACUGCAGCCUCUUGGAGGAAGAUGUUAGGGAAGCGAUUAUGAAUUUGGAGCCUCCCGAAGCGUGUUGGCAGCUGGAUCCUCUGGAUGAAUAAAACCCUGCCAAAAAUUAA